GCGCCUGUAGCUCAAUUGGAUAGAGCGUUUGACUACGGAUCAAAAGGUUGGGGAUUCGAUCUCUCUCGGGCGCGCCA
rnacentral:tRNA from 1 species